rnacentral:rRNA from 1 species
AUGGCGGCUGACCCGGGGAACGGCGAGCUGUGGCGCCGCUUCGUCAGGUUCGAGCUGGAGGAGGGCAGCGGAAUCGAGGCCGCCCGCGCCGUCUACGAGCGACUUCUCGCUGCAAUUCCCGAUGGAGAGACAUACAUGUGGGACUGGUUCUGGAGGGAGCGCGAGUUCGGCGACGUCGACAGCCAGCGGCGCGCGCUUCAGAGGUGGGCGCGGUGGGCGCAGGCCCAAGGAGGCGGCUUCCUCAGGUCCAAGUCAGGCUGGCGUACUUACUUGAAGUUCGAGAUCGACAACGGCGGCGGGGUGGAGCGCGUCCGGGCCGUCGGCGAGGCGCUCCUCGCGACCUUUCCCAUGGAUCCGCAUGCGUACGUGAUGUACAUCAGGGCUCUGACCGCUCUGUCCCGGCACGUUGAAGCCCAAGCCCUGGCACGCCGUGGCGUCAAGGAGCUGUCCGCCUUCUAUCGCGGGCAUGAUGAGUUCAUUUGGAGGUUUAUGGCUGUGUAUCUGAAGAGGCUCAGGGAGAGGCGGAGCACCGCGUGGGACGAAAAUAUGUUCAACGAUUAG